CGAGCAUGACUGUCAAAUUUGAGCUCAAACAGACAUUCAGAAGGGCAGGCGAAAAAUAUUUGUACCUGAGCUGAAAACUGAGGGUUGAAUAGUGUAUAGUUGAGGGGCUAAUUUGUAAAACGGACUUAAUCCCUUUGUUUCUUCUCCUCCCUCAACCGUGCAGCCACAACACCACACACACACAUACGCAUACAUGGAAGGAGAGAGAAACCUCCCUUUCUCUCUCUAGAU
rnacentral:lncRNA from 1 species